rnacentral:rRNA from 1 species
GGGUUGUGAGGUUAAGCGACUAAGCGUACACGGUGGAUGCCCUGGCAGUCAGAGGCGAUGAAGGGCGUGCUAAUCUGCGAUAAGCGCCGGUAAGGUGAUAUGAACCGUUAUAACCGGCGAUACCCGAAUGGGGAAACCCAGUGUGACUCGUCACACUAUCAUUAACUGAAUCCAUAGGUUAAUGAGGCGAACCGGGGGAACUGAAACAUCUAAGUACCCCGAGGAAAAGAAAUCAACCGAGAUUCCCCCAGUAGCGGCGAGCGAACGGGGAGGAGCCCAGAGCCUGAAUCAGCAUGUGUGUUAGUGGAAGCGUCUGGAAAGGCGCGCGAUACAGGGUGACAGCCCCGUACACAAAAGCGCAUGUGCUGUGAGCUCGAUGAGUAGGGCGGGACACGUGGUAUCCUGUCUGAAUAUGGGGGGACCAUCCUCCAAGGCUAAAUACUCCUGACUGACCGAUAGUGAACCAGUACCGUGAGGGAAAGGCGAAAAGAACCCCGGCGAGGGGAGUGAAAAAGAACCUGAAACCGUGUACGUACAAGCAGUGGGAGCACAGGUUUACCUGUGUGACUGCGUACCUUUUGUAUAAUGGGUCAGCGACUUAUAUUCUGUAGCAAGGUUAACCGUAUAGGGGAGCCGUAGGGAAACCGAGUCUUAACCGGGCGUUAAGUUGCAGGGUAUAGACCCGAAACCCGGUGAUCUAGCCAUGGGCAGGUUGAAGGUUGGGUAACACUAACUGGAGGACCGAACCGACUAAUGUUGAAAAAUUAGCGGAUGACCUGUGGCUGGGGGUGAAAGGCCAAUCAAACCGGGAGAUAGCUGGUUCUCCCCGAAAGCUAUUUAGGUAGCGCCUCGUGAAUUCAUCUCCGGGGGUAGAGCACUGUUUCGGCUAGGGGGCCAUCCCGGCUUACCAACCCGAUGCAAACUGCGAAUACCGGAGAAUGUUAUCACGGGAGACACACGGCGGGUGCUAACGUCCGUCGUGAAGAGGGAAACAACCCAGACCGCCAGCUAAGGUCCCAAAGUCAUGGUUAAGUGGGAAACGAUGUGGGAAGGCCCAGACAGCCAGGAUGUUGGCUUAGAAGCAGCCAUCAUUUAAAGAAAGCGUAAUAGCUCACUGGUCGAGUCGGCCUGCGCGGAAGAUGUAACGGGGCUAAACCAUGCACCGAAGCUGCGGCAGCGACGCUGAUGCGUUGUUGGGUAGGGGAGCGUUCUGUAAGCCUGUGAAGGUGGCCUGUGAGGGUUGCUGGAGGUAUCAGAAGUGCGAAUGCUGACAUAAGUAACGAUAAAGCGGGUGAAAAGCCCGCUCGCCGGAAGACCAAGGGUUCCUGUCCAACGUUAAUCGGGGCAGGGUGAGUCGACCCCUAAGGCGAGGCCGAAAGGCGUAGUCGAUGGGAAACGGGUUAAUAUUCCCGUACUUGGUGUUACUGCGAAGGGGGGACGGAGAAGGCUAUGUUGGCCGGGCGACGGUUGUCCCGGUUUAAGCGUGUAGGUGUGUGUUCCAGGUAAAUCCGGUUCACUUUAACACUGAGGCGUGAUGACGAGGCACUACGGUGCUGAAGCAACAAAUGCCCUGCUUCCAGGAAAAGCCUCUAAGCAUCAGGUAACAUCAAAUCGUACCCCAAACCGACACAGGUGGUCAGGUAGAGAAUACCAAGGCGCUUGAGAGAACUCGGGUGAAGGAACUAGGCAAAAUGGUGCCGUAACUUCGGGAGAAGGCACGCUGACACGUAGGUGAAGUGAUUUACUCAUGGAGCUGAAGUCAGUCGAAGAUACCAGCUGGCUGCAACUGUUUAUUAAAAACACAGCACUGUGCAAACACGAAAGUGGACGUAUACGGUGUGACGCCUGCCCGGUGCCGGAAGGUUAAUUGAUGGGGUCAGCGCAAGCGAAGCUCCUGAUCGAAGCCCCGGUAAACGGCGGCCGUAACUAUAACGGUCCUAAGGUAGCGAAAUUCCUUGUCGGGUAAGUUCCGACCUGCACGAAUGGCGUAAUGAUGGCCAGGCUGGUCUCCACCCGAGACUCAGUGAAAUUGAACUCGCUGUGAAGAUGCAGUGUACCCGCGGCAAGACGGAAAGACCCCGUGAACCUUUACUAUAGCUUGACACUGAACAUUGAGCCUUGAUGUGUAGGAUAGGUGGGAGGCUUUGAAGCGUGGACGCCAGUCUGCAUGGAGCCGGCCUUGAAAUACCACCCUUUAAUGUUUGAUGUUCUAACGUGGACCCGUGAUCCGGGUUGCGGACAGUGUCUGGUGGGUAGUUUGACGUGGGGCGGUCGCCGUCCUAAAGAGUAUACGGAGGAGCACGAAGGUUGGCUAAUCCUGGUCGGACAUCAGGAGGUUAGUGCAAUGGCAUAAGCCAGCUUGACUGCGAGCGUGACGGCGCGAGCAGGUGCGAAAGCAGGUCAUAGUGAUCCGGUGGUUCUGAAUGGAAGGGCCAUCGCUCAACGGAUAAAAGGUACUCCGGGGAUAACAGGCUGAUACCGCCCAAGAGUUCAUAUCGACGGCGGUGUUUGGCACCUCGAUGUCGGCUCAUCACAUCCUGGGGCUGAAGUAGGUCCCAAGGGUAUGGCUGUUCGCCAUUUAAAGUGGUACGCGAGCUGGGUUUAGAACGUCGUGAGACAGUUCGGUCCCUAUCUGCCGUGGGCGCUGGAGAACUGAGGGGGGCUGCUCCUAGUACGAGAGGACCGGAGUGGACGCAUCACUGGUGUUCGGGUUGUCAUGCCAAUGGCACUGCCCGGUAGCUAAAUGCGGAAGAGAUAAGUGCUGAAAGCAUCUAAGCACGAAACUUGCCCCGAGAUGAGUUCUCCCUGAGACUUAGAGUCUCCUGAAGGAACGUUGAAGACGACGACGUUGAUAGGCCGGGUGUGUAAGCGCAGCGAUGCGUUGAGCUAACCGGUACUAAUGAACCGUGAGGCUUAACCUUACAACGCCGAAG